GUGCUCACUUAAGCAGUACAUAUACUAGAAUUGGAAUGAUACAGAGAAGAUUAGCAUGGCCCCUGCACAAGGAUGACAUGCAAAUUCGCCAAGUGUUCCGUAUUUUU
ensembl:snRNA U6 U6 spliceosomal RNA